rnacentral:rRNA from 1 species
CACGUAGGGCGCGAGCGUUGUCCGGAAUCAUUGGGCGUAAAGCGCGCGUAGGCGGCCCGGUAAGUCCGCUGUAAAAGUCCAGGGCUCAACCCUGGAAAGCCGGUGGAUACUGUCGGGCUAGAGUCCGGAAGAGGCGAGUGGAAUUCCUGGUGCAGCGGUGGAAUGCGCAGAUAUCAGGAGGAACACCAAUGGCGAAGGCAGCUCGCUGGGACGGUACUGACGCUGAGGCGCGAAAGCGUGGGGAGCGAACAGG